rnacentral:rRNA from 1 species
UGGGGAAUAUUGCACAAUGGGCGAAAGCCUGAUGCAGCAACGCCGCGUGAGUGAUGAAGGCCUUCGGGUUGUAAAGCUCUGUCUUUUGGGACGAUAAUGACGGUACCAAAGGAGGAAGCCACGGCUAACUACGUGCCAGCAGCCGCGGUAAUACGUAGGUGGCAAGCGUUGUCCGGAUUUACUGGGCGUAAAGGAUGCGUAGGCGGAUUUUUAAGUGAGAUGUGAAAUACCCGGGCUUAACUUGGGUGCUGCAUUUCAAACUGGGAAUCUAGAGUGCGGGAGAGGAGAAUGGAAUUCCUAGUGUAGCGGUGAAAUGCGUAGAGAUUAGGAAGAACACCAGUGGCGAAGGCGAUUCUCUGGACCGUAACUGAUGCUGAGGCAUGAAAAGCGUGGGUAGCAAAACAGGAUUAGAUACCCUGGUAGUCCACGCCGUAAAACGAUGAGUACUAGGUGUAGGAGGUAUCGACCCCUUCUGUGCCGCAGUUAAACACAAAUAAGUACUCCGCCUGGGAAGUACGAUCGCAAGAUUAAAAACUUAAAAUG